rnacentral:lncRNA from 1 species
CAUGAAGAAAGAUAUAUGCAUUGGCGGCCCCCUCAACUUCAAUUAUAUUAGCAGCAGCCUUUACAUACAAUAUGUUUUUAGUGUGUAAUGACAACUGCAGAUUCUUUUGUACAUGAGUUACACACGAGUCACAAAAUUGCAUUUGAAGUAGAAAGAUUAAUCCAAAUAAUAACACUUCAAAAUACAUUCUCCAAGGAUUAUAGACAAUUUUUCCACAAAGACUGUUUAAGGGAAGACAUGAAAUUAGAGUUGCUUAAAAGAAUUCUGUCCAAGGCAACUUAUUUGUCCUCCUUCAAAAAUUGUGCUUCUUUCACUCAUAUUUGGCUCUCUAAUUUCAGAAUUUAUUUACAACACGUCCAGUGUCUCACAUCUAUAGUUAUAGUUCUAAUAAUCUAGACUUUCUUAUUCCUUCCUUGAUUUUUUCUGCAUAAGCUUUACACGUUGAUUUGGACCCUAUCAUAGAAUCAAGAUUAGCAAUAUGCUCUUUUCACCUGGCAAGAAGCUCUGUUAAAUAUCUUGAUGAGAUCCUUCCCUUCGUUGGCUUCUUUAUUUAAAGAGAAUCAGUCCCAGAGUCAUGUCUUCAAAGACUGAACAUCCAAGCUCGUUAUUCUAUAAAAAAAUUAUUAUGUUGAUUAUCCAAAAAGAGGAAUAUAUAUGUAGUAUGAAAAUUGUAAAUGAGUAUAACAUAUAUGUUGGUCCAAAUACAGUAAGAAAAGCUUUUAGAUUUUUAAUUGAAUACAUUAAAGAACUAAAUGCUAGGACUGAAUGCAUGGAUUUUGAUGCCGCACCCGUAUCGAAUUCUUCAAAAAUUAUAUUACUUUUGACGAAUUCGACACACAUUCAUUGACAUUUUUCAAGAAUUCGAGCUACAUAGACUAAAUGAAUAUUAAAUUAUCUUCCUUGAAUAAAACUUUGCAAGAAUUCUAAAUAUUUCAAUUCUUUAGCCAAUCAUUUUGAAAUGGAGAAGAGAAGAAUUUUUUUAAACUCUAUCACCUUUUACCUCAUACGAUCAUACUUAUCUAUUCAUUUUUCAUCCUUGGCAUGAAAUCAAAAUAUUCUUCAACAAAUAUGUCUAACUCAUUAAUGUGCAACUUGACAUUUUAGAAGGGUUAAAACGCUUCUCUUUUCUAGAGAGUAAGUAUGAAGAAGAUCAAAGAUCCAAUUGUACUGCAGUCUUCAUGCCCUUGGCAUAAUAUGACAGUAAUGUUUUACACGUCAUUGAGGAAAAAAAAAAGUUGAGAACAUUUUAACAGAGAACAUAAGGAAAUAUACAUUAUAUAUUUUAUUCACCAUUAUUUUCCCUCUUUCAUAUCUACUUUAAUUUGUUAUACUCGAGUCGAGGGUCUCCAAAACAGCCUCUCGUCCUCCAUGAAUUAAUGAUAAGGUCUACUUACACUCUACUCUCCCCAAACGCCACUAAAUAGUAUUUCAAUAAGUAUGUUGAUGUUGUUAUUAUUGAGAAAAUAAAGACAGGAGAAAUAUGACAAUCUUGAGAGAACACAUCAUCUAGAAUAUAUGGUGUGAGUGUCCUUUUCCAACAUUAUUUUCCAUGUAUUAAGACAGGCCACUGCAAACAGAGUAACUAAGGACUUCUGGAUGAUCAGAUCCAGAAUAAAUUGGCUCUCAGGUGGGGAUGCCAACACAAAAUUCUUCCACACCUCCACCAUGGUAAAAAGGAGGAAAAACAAAAUCUCCUACCUUAAGGACAAUGUAGGGAACCUCAUCACUGAUAGAUGACAUCAUUGACCACAUCUCUACCUUUUACCACCAACUCUACACUACUGACCACACUAGUAGUGCCAUUAUUGGGGCCCCUUAUCAAGAUGACACUAACACUUUCUCCCCCAGCCUGAGGUCCAACCUCAAUAGCCCCCUAAGGGAUACUGAGAUCAUCAAAGCUCUGAAAGGUUUCAAGCCCCUUAAAUACCCUGGACCUGAUGGUCUUCACCCUUCUUCUUUCAAAAAUACUGGGACAUUGUAGGAGAUGCCACUAAGGCUGUCUGUUAUAAGGUAUUUGAUGAAGCUAGGAUCCCGGAAGAGGUCAAUAAGACCCUCUUAUGCCUCAUCCCUAAAUGUCCCAAUGCCUUUUCUAUCAAGAACUUUAGGCCCAUUAACUUAUGCAACACUUCUUAUAAGCUCAUCACCAAAAUUAUUGUUAACUAAAUAAAACCCAUGCUUGGCACUAUUAUAGCCCCUACUCAAUCUAGCUUCCUAGAUAAUAAGAGAAUCUCUGAUAAUGCUAUCAUAUUCCAAGAAUAUGUCUCUCAUUUCAAAAAAAUAUGGGUCAUAAACCACCACGUCAUGAUCCUAAAGAUUGACUUAGAGAAAGCCUUCGAUAGAAUGGAAUAGUCUUUCAUCCACAGCUCUCUCCAGUUCUUCAACUUCCCCACCAAGCUUAUCAAGAUAAUUAUGUCUUAAAAGUCUACUAGUUCUAUCGGGGCAGCACCCCCUCUUUUAAUCCUACCAGAGGUAUCAGGCAGGGAAAUCCUAUAUCACCCUACCUGUUCAUCAUUUACAUGGAAAGACUGUUCAGAGACAUUGACAAUCAGGUGACCUACAAAAAUUGGACUCCUAUCUCUAUUACAGCUAAUGGCCCGAAAAUCUCCAGACCUCACUCUGAUUGCUAAAGCUAAUAGGAACAACUGUAAUGCAAUCUUCUCUACUUUCUUCAAUUCCAAUAGAACCUCCGAACAGCAAAUCAACAAAGCUAAGUCCAGAGUCUUGUUCUCACGCAAUACCUCCAGCCAAAAUACUUUUGAAUGUUCCAAUGCCCUAGGCAUUGAUAGGAGCAUUGAGUUUGGAAAACACCUUGGCUUCCCCAUCUUCCAUAAAGCCUCUAUGAAUGUUGAUUUCCAACUUAUCACUGAUAAUAUAUCCAGAAGACUAGCUGGCUGAAAGUAAAAAAUCCUCAACAUGACUGGCAGAUUUGUUCUUACCAAAGCUACUCUUAGCAGUAUGCCCAUCCAUAUUAUGCAGUACAUCAGGAUCCCUAGCAAAGUCCUUUAAACUAUUGAGAAAAUUGGAAACCCCCGGAUAAGGAAACCUUUAUGCUGAAUAUAAAUGGUGUUGUCCACUCUAACCCAGGCCGAGGGAGGGGAGAUGGAUUAGGGGGGUCAUUAGGAACCACAAAGAAGACUGGGUUGCUGGGUUUAAGGAUUGCACACCCCUAACCACCCUCCUCUAUGCCGAGUUAAAAGCCAUGUUGCAGGGACUGAGAGUAGCUAAGCCCCUCAACAUUAAGCCCUUCCAAUUGUGCUCUGAAUCACUGGAACUUGUCCAUGCAAUGGAACGAGGACAUGAUCUAUACACUAACAUUAUAUGUAAGUGCAGGUACCUAAUGCAGGAGCUUGGGGGCACCCGAUACCAAACACAUCUUCAAGGAGCAAAAUAGAGUAGCGGGUGCCAUGGUAAAGGAAGGCAGCAGCUGAAUACAAUUUGGAGUACCAUGUGUUUUGUCAUCUCCACCCUCAAAUGUAGUAGCCCUAGUAGAAACAGAAAAAAGGGUGUUGUUUUUGCAAGAACAGUAAAACUUACUAAUUUUGGCCUACAAGGCCGGGUUGUGGCCUCUUCUACUAACCCCACCCCUCAUGUUUUGAAUGGAGUUACAGCUUCAAUAAUUGCUACUUUGGUUUAAGUUGCUAAUAUAAUCCAUAUUAUAAAAAAAAAAAGAACCAUUAAACAUAAAAAAAAAAUAAUAAUAAUCUAUGCUUCAUAGGGGAAGAGUAGAAAAGUAGAAACUGGAACAAAAACAAAAUAGACCAACUACUAGUAUGUUCAUUGAGAAAAUCCGACUUGACAUAUCAAGAAGCUACGGAGAAGAUGAUGAAUCGGAGCCAGAAAGCUAUAAUAUGAAUCUAACCUUCUACAAUAAUAUCGUCAUACGAGGGAUGAAGAUCUUAAAUGAUAUCUCCCAAAAAUCAAAGAUAUAAUAUUCCACUUAGAAAAAUAGGUGCACCGUGUCGGCAAUUUAGCAUUGAUAUUUUGACAUUGAUAGAAAGUGUGUUUGGUAUGAAGGAAAAUAUUUUUUGGAAAAUGUUUUCCAAUUUUCUCAUGUGUGGUUGACUUACAAAUUUUGAAAAAU